CGUGCGAAAUGAUGAAAAUCAUUUAGCGGCGGACGGGUGAGUAAGAUAUGGGAAUCUACCUAAAGAUGGGGGAUAACUAUCGGAAACGGUAGCUAAUACCGCGUAAGCUCUCGAUAAGGAAACUGAUCGUGAGGAAAGCGGGGGAUAUGUCAUAAUCAUCGAUAUACCUCGCGUCUUUAGAUGAGCCCAUACGAGAUUAGCUAGUAGGUGAGGUAAAAGCUCACCUAGGCAACAAUCUCUAGCUGGUCUGAGAGGACGACCAGCCACACUGGGACUGAGAUACGGCCCAGACUCCUACGGGAGGCAGCAGUGGGGAAUAUUGCACAAUGAGCGAAAGCUUGAUGCAGCUAUGCCGCGUGUAUGAAGAAGGCCCUAGGGUUGUAAAGUACUUUCAGUUGCGAAGAAAAAGAUGAAGAUAACACCUUCUUCGGAUGACGUUAGCAACAGAAGAAGCACCGGCUAACUCCGUGCCAGCAGCCGCGGUAAUACGGAGGGUGCGAGCGUUAAUCGGAAUUACUGGGCGUAAAGGGCACGCAGGUGGUAAGUUAAGUUGAUUUGUGAAAUCCCUGGGCUCAACCUAGGAAAGCAUUCAAAACUAAUUUACUAGAGUCUUGUAGGGGGGAAUAGAAUUCCAUGUGUAGCGGUGAAAUGCGUAGAGAUAUGGAGGAAUACCGAUGGCGAAGGCAAUUCCCUGGACAAAGACUGACACUCAUGUGCGAAAGCAUGGGGAGCAAACAGGAUUAGAUACCCUGGUAGUCCAUGCCGUAAACGAUGUCGAUUAGGAGGUUGCUACGUUUAAGUAGUGGCUUCCGAAGCUAACGCAUUAAAUCGACCGUCUGGGGAGUACGGCCGCAAGGUUAAAACUCAAAUGAAUUGACGGGGGCCCGCACAAGCGGUGGAGCAUGUGGUUUAAUUCGAUGCAACGCGAAAAACCUUACCUACUCUUGACAUCCAAAGAAAUCUGCAGAGAUGUAGAUGUGCCUUCGGGAACUUUGAGACAGGUGCUGCAUGGCUGUCGUCAGCUCGUGUUGUGAAAUGUUGGGUUAAGUCCCGCAACGAGCGCAACCCUUAUUCUUUGUUGCCAUCGAUUCGGUCGGGAACUCAAAGAAGACUGCCGGUGAUAAACCGGAGGAAGGAGAGGACGACGUCAAGUCAUCAUGGCCCUUACGAGUAGGGCUACACACGUGCUACAAUGG
rnacentral:rRNA from 1 species